AAUGAACGUUGGCGGCGUGGAUUAGGCAUGCAAGUCGAGCGCUCAUAGCAAUAUGGGAGCGGCGAACGGCGUAGUAAUAUGUAGGAACGUACCCUCGGGUCGGGGAUAGCCAUGGGAAACUGUGGGUAAUACCCGAUAAUCUCUGCGGAGCAAAGGUGUGAUUCCGCCUGAGGAGCGGCCUACACGAUAUUAGCUAGUUGGUAGGGUAAUGGCCUACCAAGGCUACGAUGUCUAGGGGGUGUGAGAGCAUGGCCCCCCACGACCGGAACUGAGAUACUGUCCGGACACCUACGGGUGGCUGCAGUCGAGAAUCUUCCGCAAUGGACGAAAGUCUGACGGAGCGACGCCGCGUGCGGGAUGAAGGCCCUUGGGUUGUAAACCGCUGUCAGAGGGGAUGAAAUCUUCGGAGGUACUCCUCCGAAGUUGACAGAGCCUCAAAGGAAGCACGGGCUAAGUACGUGCCAGCAGCCGCGGUAAAGUCAC
rnacentral:rRNA from 1 species